GGUAUGGGAAGUAUUGUCGGCAUAUAUUAAAGUUAUGAUUAGAAUAUAAAGAUUUUUAGAUAAGUACAUUUCGAGUUACGUUGUUGGUAUUUGUGGCUUUUAAUCAUUCCGGAGGUUUAUCUCGCGUGUUGCAGGCAGCAGGGCGUAAAUGCGUACCCCCGUUUGUGUCUGGUCUCGCUUUUCUUUAGUUUGACAUGCAGCCCGAAUGUGCCUGUGACCAUGGGUAGUUAAUUAAACAUUGUUUGCAGUCUGCUAUCGCAUGCCUGGUUGCUUUGUGUUUUGUGUGUGAGAUGUGGUGCUUGUUUUUGUUGUUUUCGGUUUUUGGGGGGGUUCCCCCCCCCCCAUCUGUUUUGCCCCAAAGAAUGAUGAGUAUUGUUUUUGUUGUUAUUGUGCCCAUCAGGCUCUAGCACUACCAAGGUUAUAUAUGCCCAGGGCGUUUUUUCUGGGCAGGCACUGAACAAAGGAGCUGUCCACCGUUGCUUAAU